rnacentral:piRNA from 1 species
UGAUAGGUGAAAUGGGAGUACAAGAUUUCU